rnacentral:tRNA from 1 species
UCGGGUGUUGGCUAACGGUAAGUCAGCUGCCUUUGAAGCAGUGGUAUGCAGGUUCGAAUCCUGCCACCCGUGC